rnacentral:rRNA from 1 species
CCCCAGACUCCUACGGGAGGCAGCAGUGGGGGAUAUUGCACAAUGGGGGAACCCUGAUGCAGCGACGCCGCGUGGGUGAAGGAGUAUUUCGGUAUGUAAAGCCCUAUCGGCAGGGAAGAAGCAAGACGGUGCCUGACUAAGAAGCCCCGGCUAACUACGUGCCAGCAGCCGCGGUAAUACGUAGGGGGCAAGCGUUAUCCGGAAUUACUGGGGGUAAAGGGAGCGUAGACGGUGAUGCAAGUCUGGAGUGAAAGGCGGGGGCCCAACCCCCGGACUGCUCUGGAAACUGUAUGACUUGAGUGCAGGAGAGGUAAGCGGAAUUCCUAGUGUAGCGGUGAAAUGCGUAGAUAUUAGGAGGAACACCAGUGGCGAAGGCGGCUUACUGGACUGUAACUGACGUUGAGGCUCGAAAGCGUGGGGAGCAAACAGGAUUAGAUACCCUGGUAGC